CAGAGACACACAGAGACACACAGAGACACACAGAGACACAGUCUCUGUGUGUGUCUCUGUGUGUCUCUGUGUCUCUGUGU
rnacentral:miRNA from 14 species